UUAUUUUUUCCUAAUCUUAUUCUAAAGUUUCCCAAUCUGCUGAUCUAAUCAUCCAAUGUAUGCCCACUUUGAUGCUUUUAUAGUUGGAGUUAUGACUAUUAAAGUUGAAAGGCUUAAAGUUUCAUAUUGGAGAACUCAACGAUCAUACCUCAUUGCUUGAAAGGUUUGUGUUAUAUUGAUCUAUCCAACUAUGAAAUCCUAAAUUAGUUUCCAACUAUGCUACAAAGAGAAUGGGAGAACAUGGCAAGUAGAGAAACCAAAUUUUAGAAUAGGAGACACCUCAUGUCAUGUACCAUUUUAUUCCAUGUCUCUAUAUAAGAUCAUUACUUUAGAGAACGUGAAUACACUUGCUAAGUUGCUAAACAUUCUGUUUGCCUCCUAUGGUUACUAAUAUUUUGAGGUUUAACUUUUGUUGGUAGAAAAUAUUAAAAGAAGGGAGGGAAGAAGGUUAGGUAGGAAAAAAUUAUGUAAAGAGUGAUUUUAGGUUGGUUGGUCAUUCCUAAGGGUGGACUUCUCUCCCUUGAAGAAAGUGUUAUUUGCUGGUCUUUGCUGCUUUACACAUUGAAAUUAGAAUGAGUGAACUUUUAAUUGGUGUUUACCAAUUUAUUAAUUCUAAUCCACUUGAUUUUAAAUUAUAUUUAGUUCUUUUACGUCACCUUCUAUGUACUUCAUCAUUUUAUUUUGCUCAUGAUUUAUGAUUUCUUUGUUUACUUCAAUUUUUGAAUUGUUCAAAUUGAAGAUAUUUGGCUCUUAGCUUUUAUUCUUGAUAACUGUAUAUGACUCUAAAAUCUAUAUAAUGGAUAUUUCAACUUAACAACUCCACUAAUUGGAGAAGUGAUGACUUCUCCGUGGUAGUUGCUCGGAACACAGGGGCAUCUCCUUAACAACCUAUAGUAUUAAUCAAACUCCCCAAAAGUCAAUCUCAUCUAGCUAACUGCUUUCAAAACUUUAUGCUUGACUGUGUUUUUUUGGGUUACUUUUUUAAGCAAGAAAACAGCUUUUGAUAAUGGGACUGAUACUUUUGUCUGAGUUUCAUUUUUCUUGAUUUUCAGUGAAGAGGAAACUAAGAAGAUUUUUUUUCAGUAUUUCUCGUGAUUGUGAGAUGAGAUGUACUCUGGACUUGGAUGCAAGAUUGAUGAGGAGACAUUUGAUAAGCUAGAAGGCCUGUAAUAGAAGUAUUGUAUGUAUUUGCCUCAGUAAUUCUUUCUGUUGCAAUUGUGUUUGAUCUUUUUUUCUAUUUCAAUAGGGUUGCCUGUAGUUUUGUGUGUUCUCUUGGAUUAUAUGUUGAUCCUGAUGAGCAUCUAUGAUGUGUUGAUUUAAGUCUUGAGCUUUUAUUUUUCUCCCUCUUAUUACCAUUCAUGUUUGCGCACCCACCUUUUUUCUUGCAACAAUUGGAUAAUUAGGUUGAUA
rnacentral:lncRNA from 1 species